UACGUAGGGUGCGAGCGUUGUCCGGAAUUACUGGGCGUAAAGAGCUCGUAGGCGGUUUGUCACGUCGUCUGUGAAAUCCCUCGGCUUAACCGGGGGCGUGCAGGCGAUACGGGCAGACUUGAGUACUACAGGGGAGACUGGAAUUCCUGGUGUAGCGGUGAAAUGCGCAGAUAUCAGGAGGAACACCGGUGGCGAAGGCGGGUCUCUGGGUAGUAACUGACGCUGAGGAGCGAAAGCAUGGGUAGCAAACAGG
rnacentral:misc_RNA from 1 species